rnacentral:rRNA from 1 species
GCAAUAAAAUACUAAUUGCCCGCCAAACCACUACGAGUGAAAACUUAAAACUUAAAAGACUUGACGGUACUUCAAACCCAGCCUAGAGGAGCCUGUCUAAUAACCGAUAACCCACGUUUAACCCUACCCGCUUUAGCCAACCAGUCUAUAUACCGCCGUCGCCAGCCCACCUUAUGAAAGAACCACAGUGCACCUAAUAGUCUAACACUAAUACGACAGGUCGAGGUGUAACUUAUAGGCGGGGGCAGAUGGGCUACAUUUUCUUCAAUAGAAUAAACGAACAGGGGCAUGAAAUCACCCCCCAAAGGCGGAUUUAGCAGUAAGCUGCAGCGCACAUUACCCAGCUGAAACUAAUGCAAUGAAGUGCGUACACACCGCCCGUCAUCC